UACGAAGGGGGCUAGCGUUGUUCGGAAUUACUGGGCGUAAAGCGCACGUAGGCGGAUACUUAAGUUAGGGGUGAAAUCCCAAGGCUCAACCUUGGAACUGCCUUUAAUACUGGGUAUCUCGAGUUCGAGAGAGGUGAGUGGAAUUCCGAGUGUAGAGGUGAAAUUCGUAGAUAUUCGGAGGAACACCAGUGGCGAAGGCGGCUCACUGGCUCGAUACUGACGCUGAGGUGCGAAAGCGUGGGGAGCAAAC
rnacentral:rRNA from 1 species